UACGUGAAACCGUUCAGGGGUAAACCUGAGAAACCCGAAAGGUCGAAUGGGGAGAUUCAGCGUGUCUCGUCGCAGGAGNNAGUUUCGGUCGCGUGACGACUCGGUGCUUGCACCCUGGCGCGCCUUCCGGAUCCGUAACCGGCGACGAACUCGUGCACUUCUCCCCUAGUAGGACGUCGCGACCCGUUGGGUGCCGGUCUAAGGCCGACGGUGGAGCCUUGGGGGAGUUCCUCGGAACGUUCUCCAAGACCCGUCGUGUCCCGGCCGGCCCGCCCGACGGUAAGACAGAGGCGUGGGGUCGCUACUUGUUAGCGUCCGGCCCGUCACAAGUUCGGACGACUGCUCGGAUGUCGGACCUGCGUGCCGACCCCGAGCUCGCACGGCUGUUGGUGACGGUGUCCUCGGACAGACUUCGAACACGCCGGUCGGCGACGCUUUAGCUUUGGGUACUUUCAGGACCCGUCUUGAAACACGGACCAAGGAGUCUAGCAUGUGCGCGAGUCAUUGGGACCGCAUCUAAACCUAAAGGCGAAAUGAAAGUGAAGGCCGCCUUGCGCGUGCCGAGGGAGGAUGGGUCGGGCUCUGCCCGCCACCCCGCACUCCCGGGGCGUCUCGUUCUCAUCGCGAGAUGAGGCGCACCCAGAGCGUACACGCUGGGACCCGAAAGAUGGUGAACUAUGCCUGAUCAGGACGAAGUCAGGGGAAACCCUGAUGGAGGUCCGUAGCGAUUCUGACGUGCAAAUCGAUCGUCGGAAUUGGGUAUAGCGGCGAAAGACCAAUCGAACCAUC
rnacentral:rRNA from 1 species